ACGGCGAGUGACCGGGAAGAGCUCAAAUUUGAAAUCUGGCGUCCUCAGGGCGUCCGAGUUGUAAUCUAUAGAGGCGUUUUCCGUGCCGGACCGUGUCCAAGUUCCUUGGAACAGGAUAUCAAAGAGGGUGACAAUCCCGUACUUGACACGACGACCGGUGCUCUGUGAUACGUCUUCUACGAGUCGAGUUGUUUGGGAAUGCAGCUCAAAAUGGGUGGUGAGUUCCAUCUAAAGCUAAAUAUUGGCGAGAGACCGAUAGCGAACAAGUACCGUGAGGGAAAGAUGAAAAGCACUUUGGAAAGAGAGUUAAACAGUACGUGAAAUUGUUGAAAGGGAAACGAUUGAAGUCAGUCGUGACCGAGAGGCUCAGCCGGUUCUGCCGGUGUAUUCCCCUCGGUCGGGUCAACAUCAGUUUUGUCCGGUGGAUAAGGGCGGUAGGAAGGUGGCACCCUCGGGUGUGUUAUAGCCUGCCGUCGCAUACAUCGGGUGAGACUGAGGAACGCAGCUCGCCUUUAUGGCCGGGGUUCGCCCACGUCCGAGCUUAGGAUGUUGACAUAAUGGCUUUAAACGACCCGUCUUGAA
rnacentral:rRNA from 1 species